UGCGUAGGCGGUUGAGUAAGUCUGACGUGAAAUCUCCGGGCCUAACCCGGAAACUGCGUUGGAUACUAUUCGGCUAGAGGAAUGGAGGGGAGACUGGAAUACUUGGUGUAGCAGUGAAAUGCGUAGAUAUCAAGUGGAACACCAGUGGCGAAGGCGAGUCUCUGGACAUUUCCUGACGCUGAGGCACGAAAGCCAGGGGAGCAAACG
rnacentral:rRNA from 1 species